rnacentral:lncRNA from 1 species
GUGAGUAAGUUUAUUUUUGGGAAGCGGAGAUAGCUAGUUGUUGUGCGAUUCUGAUCCUUAUUAUAGUAUCUGCAGGUAUACCAAUGCAUAAGUUGUAAACUUGUACUUUUGAACAAAUAAUAGUAUUUAGAAAGAAACUAAGUUGAGGAAUUCCAUACCAAUUCUUCAUAGAAUAUAUUUUCAAUGAGACCUGGAAUCUGCCACAAACAACUUCAAAACAAUUGCAGAGUACCUUAUUUAAGCUACCGUUCCUUACAAAUAUAGAAUUAAUUAUCUUUGCAAUAAACAAAAUCACUUUUUGUUUAUAAUCCAACUAAGGAGCCGUAUUUUAUGAGAUAGUUAAAUGUGGCAUAGGCCAUAGCCUACUCUCAUCUUUGAACAUGUGUAUGGAGCAUACUACGAACUCAAUGAUUGGGGGAUUUAGAUUGGUUUCAUUUCACUCCGUUAUUCUCACACUUUUCUAACAGCACUUGUUGUUCCCAGUUCUUUGAUCAAUACGAAAAGCUGUGGACGUCUCCUAAUGUCACAAGGAGGCAGUCUGUAAAGGUCUGUUUGGCAACAAUUUAUUUUAUUUUAUUUUAUUUUUAAAUUUCUUAUCUUCUUUUAAAUGUACAUGAUUCUAUAAAAACAGGAAUAUCACACAGUUGUGUUUGAUUCUAUAACAAUUUUUUGUGUGUAUAUUUCCAUCUAGUUUGAUGCAAGGAUUUCAUAUUGGUGUUUGUGAUUGUGAACAACUAAUGUGUUGGAUGGUCCAUCAGUUUUUAAUUUUAUGUGGACAAGAAAUCAUUUGGUUUGUAUUGUAAUACAAACUAAAUUGUAAGUAUCAACAAACAACGUUGCUUUGAUACUAAUAUAAAUUAGAAGAGUUCUUAUUAUAA